GUCGAACGAUGAAACCGCCCUCGGGCGGACAUGAAGUGGCGAACGGGUGAGUAACACGUGACCAACCUGCCCCCCUCUCCGGGACAACCUUGGGAAACCGAGGCUAAUACCGGAUACUCCCUCCCCUGCUCCUGCAGGGGUCGGGAAAGCCCAGGCGGAGGGGGAUGGGGUCGCGGCCCAUUAGGUAGUAGGCGGGGUAACGGCCCACCUAGCCCGCGAUGGGUAGCCGGGUUGAGAGACCGACCGGCCACAUUGGGACUGAGAUACGGCCCAGACUCCUACGGGAGGCAGCAGUGGGGAAUUUUGCGCAAUGGGGGCAACCCUGACGCAGCAACGCCGCGUGCGGGACGACGGCCUUCGGGUUGUAAACCGCUUUCAGCAGGGAAGAAAUUCGACGGUACCUGCAGAAGAAGCUCCGGCUAACUACGUGCCAGCAGCCGCGGUAAUACGUAGGGAGCGAGCGUUAUCCGGAUUCAUUGGGCGUAAAGAGCGCGUAGGCGGCCUCUCAAGCGGGAUCUCUAAUCCGAGGGCUCAACCCCCGGCCGGAUCCCGAACUGGGAGGCUCGAGUUCGGUAGAGGCAGGCGGAAUUCCCGGUGUAGCGGUGGAAUGCGCAGAUAUCGGGAAGAACACCGAUGGCGAAGGCAGCCUGCUGGGCCGCAACUGACGCUGAGGCGCGAAAGCUAGGGGAGCGAACAGGAUUAGAUACCCUGGUAGUCCUAGCCGUAAACGAUGGAUACUAGGUGUGGGGGGCUCCGCCCUCCGUGCCGCAGCCAACGCAUUAAGUAUCCCGCCUGGGGAGUACGGCCGCAAGGCUAAAACUCAAAGGAAUUGACGGGGGCCCGCACAAGCAGCGGAGCAUGUGGCUUAAUUCGAAGCA
rnacentral:rRNA from 1 species